GUUUGGCAUUUUUAAUUUUGUUGUACAUGUGACAAUGACAAUAAAGAUCUAUUUAUCUAUCUGUGUAACUAAUAAAGUUGUGACGAUAUGCCCAAACAGCUUUUUUCUUUACUCCACCACGCAUAAAAGCGGGUGGAGACGCCAAGCUGCCCUCGUUACAGCAAACUUGAAGACAGAGAAACAGCCAAGCAGAAUAGUGUCUGUACGCGGGGCUCGGUUGGUGCCAUUGAGCAUCGUAUUCCUAAAACAAAACGAAGCGGUCAUAAGAGUGGCGGUGUGUAGGGAGGCGACCUUGACCCCGAUCAAGGUUGGGGCCUUCUACACGUUCACGCACCUUAGUGCCGUGACCAAUGAUUUCGGCCUGUCUUUCAAUACGACCCAAUAUUCAAAGAUAUCGGUGAGUAAAGAAAAGGCUGUAAAACGGAAAAGGAAUGUCAUCAGUUUAGGUUGUUGUGAAUGAACGAGUAGAAUACUACAAAUGCCGGCUUUCCAUACAAUCUCGUUCAAAUUUUACAACUUUAUGAGAAAGGCUGUUGAAUUGUGACCAGCGUGUCUACAAACAGCCCCCCCUGGUGGGGACAAAACGGUACAGAUAAUGGAAGGAUUUUAUGAAUUAGUAAUUGCAUGUGAUGUGACUGUGAUGAAUUGACCUUUAACUUUAUGGAGUUAUUCGUGACCUUUGAGUUCUAUAAUUGUUCUCAGUUUUCACCUGAGUAAACCUAAUUGUGUUUUUAUUCCCUAGGGCUACGAUGCAACUGUAAACUUGGUGGCUAUAGGGGUAAUGAUUGAGGAGGAGGAGGUCAAGUUGGUGGAUGGGGAGGGGGUUGAAACCACAAUUGCCUUGAGUGUAUGGAGCAAGACUUUCGUUGAGCCACCAAAAUUACCACAAGAUGGACUCCCACUUAAACUCAUUUAUUCGGAGGGUGAAGUGGUCGAAAUUUGCAAAUGAAGAUUUUAUUUUGCCAAUGCUGUCCAUUUACCUACAUUGUUUUCUGUCACAGUUCGGGUUGGAUGGGGUGCAGUUGCGCUUUUCAUUGGGAAGAGUUUACAUUUUCUGAUUCACCCCAUUCAAACUUUCACACGUUCCAAAAAUUCAUGUCACGCUUGCUACCAUUUUUUUUGUUCAUAACAUUUAGCGUUUUUGUGUAAUUAGCAAAUUUGUGGCUUAAAAUCCCCCAUUCAUUCUUAAUGGCAAUGUCGACACGAGCC